CAGGUAAACAAGCUCAUGCUGCGCAACAGGACUGUCCAUCUGACAAACCGUUAACUAUAGCGACAUAACCAGGCUGAAUUCUUAUACACUGGAAUCGGAUCUGGUCUGGACUACUGCUAUUCCUACCAUUUUUGCGGUAAAAGAGCGAGAGUGAUCCUCCUUAGCCUGAGGGAGGUGGUUGGCAGAGCUGGGCGAGGACUGGGAGGUGCGGAGUUGAAAGGCCAGUCCGGAGCACGGCCGGGGCGAUGGGGAAUGAGGUGGUUCCUGUGAGAGGAAAAGUGGGGGUUUGAUAAGUGAGGCUGUUCCUGAGGAAAAGCGUCCUCUGUGGAGGAGGCCUCGUAAACAAACACCAUGGCUCUACAGGCAGAGACAAUUGUAACACUGUCCAGAAAUUCCAAGAGUUUGACAAACAAAUGGUUUUGCAGUGACCACUCGACAAGACGGUGCUGUUUGGCCUCAUGCAGUGACCACUCGACAAGACGGUGCUGUGUGGCCUCAUGCAGUGACCACUCGACAAAACGGUGCUGUGUGGCCCCUCAGAUGGACGGAAGCUUCUCUGACUCACUGCAGUGUGAGGGAUACCCAGGGAUGGGUGAUGAUGCAGAGGCCAUGAACAGACACAGCUCCUCCACGUCCGUCUCUGUUGGGGAUCCAGCUCUCUGGGGCGUCUGUCUUCACUCACGCGGCCCUCGGCCCACUCCCCUCUCCCCUCUCCCAGGCUGGGGGCUGACCAGUGCGCUCCACUCUGACCAGUGCGCUCCACUCUCCAGCCCCUGAUAGCGCUAGCAUGCGGAGGAAUGCGCUCUAAUGAAAACACUCGCCCGCUUCAUUAUUAGCGUGAAGACAGGAGGGCGCAGAAACAUUAGUCCUUUCUCUUCUCUUCCUCUUCUCUUCUCUUCUCUUCUCUUCUCUUCUCUUCUCUUCUCUCCUCUCCUCUCCUCUCCUCUCCUCUCCUCUUCUCUUCUCUUCUCUUUACUCACUCUCUUAUUCUCUCUCUCUCUCUCUGCUGUCCUCCCUGUUCAGGGAAGAUGUGGGCCUGAGUGUGAGAGAGGGUGGGGGGGGGGGGUUGGUUAUCAGCCUUUCUGCUGAGGCAGCACACAGAGUCUCUGUAGGGGGUUCUGGGAGGGAUGGAGCAGUGGGUCUGAAAGUCCCUCAGAGUCUCUCCCCCAGCAUGGACCCCCCCCCCCCCCCCCCCGCCCCCCCUCUUCCAGAGUCUCUGGUCUAUACAUCGGCCAGGCGCUGACUUUCCUUCGUACUCCAUAUCCACAUGCGCGGUCACCAGACCACCAGCUGCGGCUUUGCUGACGAGGGUUUCAUGAUAUCGCGGCUGAUAUUUCGGACUGUGAUGGACAGCGUGCACUCUGACGCAUGACUGCGAAGCACAGGAGCCCCUCUAUGUUAUCAGCCAGGGGGGUGUGUGUGUGUGGGGGGGGGUGUGUGUGAGUGUGUGUGUGUGUGGGGGGGGGGGGGGGGGGGGGGGGGGGGGGUGCAGGACGAGGGUGAUGGAAUGAAGCAGAAGGAGCAGGAUUCUGAAGAUGGAUACCCCCCCCCCCAGCCCGCAAGCGACGCGCUUCGUAAAUCUCCCACUCAUCUGGCCUCUGGAUGAGCUCAUCUGGGUCGGCCGUGAUACUGGCUGUCACACAUCAAAGCUCACCUCAAAAGCCUACUUUUAUGAAUGUGCCUGUGUCUGUGUCUGUGUAUGUGUCUGCGUGUGUGUGUGUGUUACAGAGGACAUUCCACGCGCCGUCCUGCUCGCCGCUAACAUCCUCUUGAGCCGUUUAUGACCUGAUGGAUCACAUCAGUCUCGUUAAAACAAUAACACGCACCUUGACGUCUUCUUCCCCCCCCCCCCCCCCCCCCCCCACGGGCCCCCUCGUCGUGGCUGACAGGCCACAGAGCCGGCCAGAGCAGGAAAUUACAGGUCAGGGCACAAGGGCUUUAAGUGUGUCCUCCUGACAUCAUCUUCUCACUUUAACACUUUGCUCAGCUGAAGACUUUUACGAAGCCUUUGUGUGCAGACAGGGUCGAUUAGUUUACAGCUCAAAGGUUAAAGAGGUCCCUUUGGGUCACCACAUAAAAGAUCUACAGCAAAUCCACACAAUGACUCCAGAGAUGAAAUGCUAAACAUCACAAUGGAGACCAUAUGCUAGGUCUAAUCUGUAUGUUUUUAGUGUACAUUAUGGUAGCACUUCGUUUCCCAUAAUCCCUCAGAUCUAAUCUGUAUGCUUUAGUGUACAUUAUGGUAGCAUUCCGUUUCCCAUCAUCCCUCAGGAUGUUAACUCAUCGCAGCACUGAGACUUGUAAUGUAAAAACCAGUAAUCCCACUUCAGAUACGUAGUCAAAAAGAGUGUCAUCAUGGAGGAGAGCUGGAGAGCUGGUAUUUUUUGUUAUUUGGACAUCUUGUCUUUUGAGUUAGGUUGGAGUGUGUGUGAAGUAAACAACAGCAUUAGUAAUCCUACUGGUCGUUUGGUUAAAGGCUGUAAGCGAUGACGCUGACGCUGCUACUGUGGCAGUUUUUAAUCAGAGUCCUUACUGCAGCCAGGCACACAGUGACGCCCCAGAGAGCCAGAACACUUUGCUCCCAACAAAAACAAUAACAAGAGGGGUGACCGAGUGAUGGCGCUGGGCCCGCAUGUGUGUCUUGGAGGAAUAGCCCAUUGGUUGCGCAACUCUCCAGAGGCCCUCUGGCUCGGGAAAAAAACGACGGAUUUGUGGACGUCAUCCUACUUGUCUAGUGCGAGUGCGCUGUACAGACGGUGACGGGAAAGAGCGCUCAAGUCCGGGCACAUACGCUGUGUCUGUGCGUGUGUGUGUGUAAUAGAGACGGGAACUGUUCAACAAAUUCCCAGGCCCUGCGCAAUGUCAAGGCAGACCCACGGCUGUGUGCACGUACAGUAUGCACUCUGUGUAAAUACUGUGCCACGCUCACAUGUAUUUAUGGAUCUAAUACUUUCACACUAAACUCAAGGAUCAGCAGCAUAAAUCUGCCAGUAGCAAUGCGGGAGAGGCCAGCCAAAUAACAUGGGUGAAUUGUUUUAUACUGCUCUGCCCCCGCACACAGACAUACACACACACACACACACACACACACACACACACAUACACAAACACACAUACACACACACAGACAGACAAACUCUGAAACAAAAUAAUUAUUGUCUAACCGAGUUUGUGAGAAGAAAAAAAAAGAUUUAACCUACUUUAAGUUAUAAUCAGUCAAGUAUAGGCACAGCAAAACAUAAAGUUGAUGUAGAGCUUGGAGUCAGAUGUGAUGGGAGUUUAUGUGCUUCUACCCCCCCCAGGCAGAAACUCUGAGCGAGAUCUGCUUUUUCUCCCCCGAGGUGUGGGUCUGUUCUGGUCUGGUCUGAUCUGGCCGAGCACACUGGGCAUGCUCACUGGCCUUUUCCCACAGUUCCCGAGACAAGCACAGAGAGCCCGGCGGUCUGGCGCAAGUGUGACCUCACUACGAGCUGCGUCAGAUGCGGACGCAAGUCACUUCAUGUCACGUCCACUGCACACACAGUCUAGUCCUGUUUCCGCUAGGCAGCUUGGCCCCAACAGCCCCUCCUCACGCUCACACACACACACACACACACACACACACACACACAACCCCCCCCCCCAGGGACUUCCCAAACGUGUAGAAUUCCGCGUUCGGGAUUGUGCAACACAUGCCUGGCCAAGGUGGGGACGCUUGGUCAGCUGAACCUGGACGUCCCGUCACCACCCACCACCCCCGCCACCCACCGCACCCGUCAGCCACCGCACCCGUCAGCCAUUGUUGUCCCCACCUAUACGCUUACUUCCACCCCCUGAGGCGCGCAUUAUCACGCCGGGGCGUAGACUUCCAGUGGAUGUGACGCUGCUUCUCUCCACCUCUCUGAUGCGGUAUCACUCACGCCAGCUUACCGUCUGACCUGAAUCUGAAGACAUACUCACACCUUCCCAAAAACAAGAGAUGAACCCAUGAAUUCUAGGAAGGAAGCCCCACUUACCUCAGGAGAUGACUGGGCCUGCCGAGACUAUGAAUACCCGAGUCAGGGCCAAACUCAGGGAGGGAGAGACAAUAUGAGUCAGAUUUUUGUGGGUCACAGUUCAAAAACGGCACUGCUAGCUCUCUGUGGUUGACUUAUUGUAGAGCGCUGCAGGGGAGAUGUAGGGAUGUGAGGCAGGCUAUGAAUUUUCUACGUGUCUUUCUUGUGUUGAUGAUAUUGUGGAGAGUACAGUGCUAGGAGUGGCCAGGAACAGUGAUGAGGCCUGUUUACACAACCGCUCUCCAUGUGAACUGCACUCCAUCAAAGGAUCAGUUACCAUGUAGCUCUGCGGGCAUAGAGAUCUAAUUACACGCUAAUAAGCUAAGAUGCCAUGACACUUGCCCCUAAUAAAAACAAGUUAUACUAGUA